UACGAAGGGGGCUAGCGUUGUUCGGAAUCACUGGGCGUAAAGCGCACGUAGGCGGAUCUUUAAGUCAGGGGUGAAAUCCCGAGGCUCAACCUCGGAACUGCCUUUGAUACUGGGGAUCUCGAGUCCGGGAGAGGUGAGUGGAACUGCGAGUGUAGAGGUGAAAUUCGUAGAUAUUCGCAAGAACACCAGUGGCGAAGGCGGACUCACUGGCC
rnacentral:rRNA from 1 species